GAUAGCCAAAGAUGGUCGCGGGAGAAAGAGUCGGGUUACUGACAGCACGCACAGUUUCUAAGUUUGGGUCAUACAACCCACCGAAAAACAUGGCUUUUGCAACCAGCAGGAGUGCGCCCCCUCCCAGUAACACUAAAUGAAUCCCCAGAAUGGUGGUCAUUUUGUUUUGGUCUUCCCA
rnacentral:antisense_RNA from 1 species